GCAAUCAUACCCACACUAACCCACCGGAUCCCAUCACAACUCCGCGGUUAAUCGUGCUUGGUCGACAAUAGUACUAGGAUGGGUGAAGCCCUAGGAAGUCCUCGUGUUGCACCCU